ACACUGGUACUGAGACACGGACCAGACUCCUACGGGAGGCAGCAGUAAGGAAUAUUGGGCAAUGGACGCAAGUCUGACCCAGCCAUGCCGCGUGAAGGAUGACGGCCCUAUGGGUUGUAAACUUCUUUUAUACGGGAAAAAACCACAAGUCGUGUAUUUGUGCUGAUGGUACCGUAAGAAUAAGCAUCGGCUAACUCCGUGCCAGCAGCCGCGGUAAUACGGAGGAUGCAAGCGUUAUCCGGAUUCAUUGGGUUUAAAGGGUGCGCAGGCGGAUUGGUAAGUCAGGGGUGAAAUCCCACAGCUCAACUGUGGAACUGCCUUUGAUACUGUCAGUCUAGAGUAUAGUUGAAGUUGGCGGAAUGUGUCAUGUAGCGGUGAAAUGCUUAGAUAUGACACAGAACACCGAUCGCGAAGGCAGCUAGCUAAGCUAUAACUGACGCUCAUGCACGAAAGCGUGGGGAUCAAACAGGAUUAGAUACCCUGGUAGUCCACGCUGUAAACGAUGAUUACUCGAUGUUGGCGAUACACAGUCAGCGUCUGAGCGAAAGCAAUAAGUAAUCCACCUGGGGAGUACGAUCGCAAGAUUGAAACUCAAAGGAAUUGACGGGGGCCCGCACAAGCGGAGGAGCAUGUGGUUUAAUUCGAUGAUACGCGAGGAACCUUACCUGGGCUCGAACGUAAGAUGACUGUAGGUGAAAGCUUACAUCUCUUCGGAGCAUUUUACGAGGUGCUGCAUGGUUGUCGUCAGCUCGUGCCGUGAGGUGUCGGGUUAAGUCCCAUAACGAGCGCAACCCCUAUCCUUAGUUGCCAUCAGGUAAUGCUGGGAACUCUAAGAAAACUGCCUACGCAAGUAGUGAGGAAGGCGGGGAUGACGUCAAAUCAGCACGGCCCUUACGUCCAGGGCUACACACGUGCUACAAUGGCCGAUACAGAGGGCAGCUACCUGGUGACAGGAUGCAAAUCUCCAAAGUCGGUCUCAGUUCGGAUCGGAGUCUGCAACCCGACUCCGUGAAGUUGGAUUCGCUAGUAAUCGCGCAUCAGCCAUGGCGCGGUGAAUACGUUCCCGGGCCUUGUACACACCGCCCGUCAAGCCAUGGAAGCUGGGGGGACCUAAAGUCGAUAACCGCAAGGAGUCGCCUAGGGUAAAACCAGUGACUGGGGCUAAGUCGUAACAAGGUAGCCGUACCGGAAGGUGUGGCUG
rnacentral:rRNA from 1 species